rnacentral:lncRNA from 1 species
GGUGGCUCCAUCAUGAUCACAUCAUCAUUGUGAUCUCAAGCUCCUGGGCUUAAGUGAUACUUAUGUGUCAGCCUCCUAUAGUUUGGAGAUGAAGGUUAAUGGACUGAUGGUGAUGGAAAAGAUAGCUCAGAGAUAUUUCAAGCAGGCUGCAAGAAUCUCCCAAUUUCGUCCAUCACAAAUCCAUCGUUGAUCCUGGAUGCAGGCUUCAGCUGGCAAAGGAAAGGAAAUACAGAGUUCAAAGCAAGUUUUAUUGUUAAGAUUACAUAGCAUCCUUCGGUUCUCCAAUUUGACUCUGGGAAGCUCUGUUCCCAAGCUACCAAGUGUCUGAGACUACACCUACUUGCUCAAUAGCUUAUCAUGACUAAUGACCAUGGAUGAUGUCCCUGAAGACAAGAGUUAAGACCAAAGGAAGACCUAUAACAUGGAAGAUCAUGAUCCAUCUGCACUCUUGGUGAGAGAAGCAAAGAAGUUAUCUUAGAAAGAAAAUAAUUGAAGCUACUAUCAUGUAGUAGAUGUGCACGGGUCGUGAGUAGUUUGACUUUACAAUUUUCUCUUUCUAGAAACUUAAGAGGUGUUGACUUACUCCAAGAGAAUUUUUGUAUCCUUAUAUGGAA